GGAAGUGUAUUCUGUGAUUGCUCUGUGCAUUUGAUCGAUAUGCGGAUAGUUCUAUCUGUCUGUUUAUCAGAUCUGCUCAGUGCCGACCCUCCGUCACACACACCUGUUGUUUCCCAGUAAUUUGCCUGGCAUUGCUGUGGCGACAUGCUUUCCGAUUGGCUUUCCGAUGCCUUUGCCCAUCGACGACGGGUCGUAUGGGCAAGAGACGCACGGUCAUGCAAAUAGCUUUCCCACCCACAAACCCACUACUUCCGGCUCCGUCUCGCGAAUUUCGAUCAAUCUCUGAUUGGAAUGCGUAUAGAUUGGAGUUGGGGGCGGAGGGCCGCGGGGGCGCCGCUAGAUGUUGAAGCCAACGGCAGUUGCCCAAGUCAGCCAUUUUCAAAAUUUCUUGGUUAAGUAACUUUGUAGCUUAGCUUCGGAUUUUCGUAAUAUAUUUGCUGUUCAGAACACUUCCAUGUACGCGGCAUUGCCGAGCAAUUUGCCCAUUCUUUUG
rnacentral:snRNA from 13 species